rnacentral:rRNA from 1 species
GACGAACGCUGGCGGCGUGCUUAACACAUGCAAGUCGAACGGUAAGGCCCUUCGGGGUACACGAGUGGCGAACGGGUGAGUAACACGUGGGUGAUCUACCCUGCACUUCGGGGUAAGCCUGGGAAACGGGAUCUAAUACCGGAUAGGACCACUGCCUGCAUGGGUGGUGGUGGAAAGCUUUUGCGGUGUGGGAUGGGCCCGCGGCCUAUCAGCUUGUUGGUGGGGGGAUGGCCUACCAAGGCGACGACGGGUAGCCGGCCUGAGAGGGUGACCGGCCACACUGGGACUGAGAUACGGCCCAGACUCCUACGGGAGGCAGCAGUGGGGAAUAUUGCACAAUGGGCGCAAGCCUGAUGCAGCGACGCCGCGUGAGGAAUGACGGCCUUCGGGUUGUAAACCUCUUUCAGCACCGACGAAGCGCAAGUGACGGUAGGUGCAGAAGAAGGACCGGCCAACUACGUGCCAGCAGCCGCAGUAA